GAAAUGAGAGAUGGGGAUAGAGUUUAAGAAUAUUCGUGAUAAGCAGUACUAUAUUGUUCGUGCGAGUGUGUCCACUUGGAUGAUAUUUAUAUAUCAGCGAAAUACUCGUUUGCUGGCGAAGGAGAGAGUGAGAGAGAAAAGACAAGAUUCUCGAUAAGGAAGCGAAACGAAGAAAGACGGGGAAAGAGAAUUAUUAUGGAAACUGGUGCAAUGACACCUAAUUAAAUUCAGCAUUAUGGUCGAAUAUCGGACUGUCUGGCAUCUCUACACCAGUUCCUAGUUCAACCCUAAAAUGCCAGAUAAAGCGAUAUGAAGUUAAGAAUGGAGAAUUAGGUGUGCCGAAAAAAAGAAACCUUUCUAUAAUCUUGCAAAACUCGCGAGAUAAUCGAAAACUUAAUUUCUCAUAAGGAGAGAUUCGAUCGAAAGUUAACGGUCGAAUUUCGAUUGAUUUGAGAAUUAAGCUAAAAAGGAGGAGGAGGAGGAGGAAGAAGAAAAAUAGAAAGUUGGUAACUAACCGGACACGGUAAGGAAAGGAGCGAAAGCGAAUAGAACUCUUAGUAUCCUAUCAGAGGUUUCACCGGCCUCUCGAACAUCAAUAUCGGGCAAGAUCAGAACUUAAGGCAAUUGCGCACUGAUACAACAAAGGGCAUCGUCUAACGCGGUUAUACCUCAUACAGAGAGACCUUUUAUAUAUAUAAAAAAAAAGAAAUAGAGAGAAGUUUUCAACAUAACAUUAAGUCUGGUUAUUAAAUGUUUAAAAACGAUUGAUCAUGAUCGAGGAAUACGAAGAGGAAAACGAGAGGAAAAUCUUGCACAUUUACGCGCCACCCUAUAAAAUCGAGAGUAUAAGACAUCGUAUAAGCGAAUUUUUUUACGAUUUUGAAAAAAGUCGUUCUAAGUUUAAGUUUCCUAUAAAGUUUGAAAAAUUUAGAAAAUUUUUUGAAAGAGUGAGUCAUUUACAUAAAAUUCCUCAUUCGUUUUCA